UGAAGAACGUACGCGCCGGUGUUGAUCGUUUAUCCCGUCAUGUGUCCAUGUUUGAAAGUAGAAUUUACAGUAACUAAAAUACUUUGACACUUGUCAGUUAUAAAAGUAAGUGGUCGCAAAAUAAACAAAUGUUUCCAGUAAGUCAGCUUUUCAAUGCGGGGAGGACAAUUACCUGUAAAUGUGGGAAACUAACGCCGUCACAUCUAUGGGGGUUUUGCUCGUUUCCCUGUCACUCUGCUGCCGAAGUUGUGAGGAAAGGAGCCGCCAAAAAGCAGGUAAUCAAAAAACACACAAAAGAAAGAACUCCAUGUCAACAAGUACUGGAUGUCUUUGACCAGCAGUACAGUCAGGAUCUUGGAGACUUGUGGGCAUCUGCAAGAUCACUGCUCCUGGAUCCUCGAUCCUGGCAAUAUGGUGUCAUGCUCAACCGCUUUACAGCCGGGACAGAUGUUAGACAGAUUCUCCAGUCGCAGGGUUUUUCCAUGUUCCUGCCACCAACAGAAGUGUCCACGCGGCUCUCUGAUGCCUCUGAAAAGCAGACAGGGAAAGACUCUCUGAUGUCAACACGUGGCGUCUCCACGUGUCCUCCUGUUGACUCCCAUCCCCAGUGUGACAGCACCUCUCAUGUGCUCAGUCAGGACCUUCAAUCAGAGCUGUUUCUCACUUCACCCCGUCCUUCACUGCAGUGUUACAUCCACCCAUACCCACACAGAUUUCCCUCCCAGCCUCACAGGCCGGGCCAGCUGAAGCAGUACUACCUUCUGAAUGCUGCCUCUCUGCUCCCAGUGCUGGCUUUGCAAGUCAAAGAUGGGGAAAAGGUUUUGGAUCUUUGCUCUGCUCCUGGUGGCAAAGCCUUGGCCAUAAUGCAGUGUGCCACGCCAGAUCUUCUCUGCUGUAAUGAACCGGAUCCUCACAGGCGGAACUGGCUGACAAAAACUCUGGAGUCUUUUCUGCCUCACUCGCAGCACAACAAAGUGAUCGUGUCUGCUCAGGAUGGGCAGUGCUUUGGGCAGAGUGAAGCUGUAACAUAUGACAAGGUUUUAGUCGAUGCUCCGUGUUCUAAUGACAGGAGCUGGCUGUAUUCUAGCAGCAGCCAGCAGGGGGAGCAGAGACUGAAGGAAAGAGCCGGACUGCCUACUCUCCAGACUCGGCUGCUUAAGUCUGCGCUGUCACUGGUGCGUCCAGGAGGCCUCGUGGUCUAUUCAACUUGCACAUUGUCCAACUCUGAGAACUAUGCUGUGGUCGAGACGGUGCUGAGAGACUGUCCUGAGGCUGAACCCGAAGACCUGUGGGAGGAGAUUGCCAUUCCUUAUUCUAAACACUUUGCUUUUGGCCCUGCUUACCCUGGUCAUGGACAGACGUCUCACCACAGACUCGGCAUCUUAGUUGUUCCUCAGCCUGGCAAGACCUGGGGACCCAUGUUUUUGUCUCGGAUUAGAAAGAGGACAUAGUAGGUACCAAAACAAAAAAGAACACACUUGUUUUCUUUGUGCAAUAAUCACAUGGCAGCACCUCAAAGCUUUUAGUCGUGUAGACAUGGUCAGGACGACCUGCUCGAGUUCAAGCGGAGCGUCACAAUGGGGAGAAAAGGUGACGUAAGAGACUUUGAACGUGACAUGGUUGUCGGUGCCAGACGGGCUGCUCUGAGUAUUUCAGAAACUACUCGUCUGCGGGGCUUUUUAUGCAUAACCGUCUCUAAUUUUACAGAGAAUGGUCUGAUGCUUUGUUGAUGCCAGAGGUCAGAAGGAAAUGGCCAGACUGGUUCAAAAUGAUAGAAAGGCAAACGUAAGUAAGGUUCCAACCAAAAUAUGUAGAUUUCUGAAAGCACUUGAGGCAGCAGACGACCACACCAGGCACCACUCCUGACUCUGUUAGGUGUCGUUUGUACCUAAUAAAGUGGCCGGGAGUGAAAGACUUGAACGAGGAGGAUCAUCACGACCGAAGCUCACAUUCAGGAUUUUCAUCUUGCACGCCGUGACUCGGUUAAUGAGGAGUAAUCUUCGGCUCUGUUCAGUGCGUCUGAAAAGCUGCAUCAUCUCCUCUAGUGGCUCAUUACCUGUGUGGUCAUGCUCGAGUGAGAAGUAGAUGCAGUCGCAGUGUUGAAGCUUCUCAUCAGGUGACAAAGAAACUUUCACCGGUUCCACCCGACAGAUGCCUCUGACCUUCAUGUGGAGAGAAAAAGGCUUCAAACGUUGUUGGAGUGGACACUCCUGGGCCUGGAGGGAAAGCAUGAAUAAUAGAUUCUUCACCCAAAGGGGGGAAAAAGGACAAUGGAAGUCAGACACACGAGGUAUGAAGGGGAGGAUUAAAACUCAAUUUUCGGCCAAUACUUUGAGGUAAAAAGGUCAUAAAAACUUUAGGGGAUUGGAGUGGAUGGGGAGAUGACACCCUCAAAUUAAGAACAUAUUCAUGUGUAAUUCAAGUAUAUUGCAGGGGCCCUCCUGGUGCAUACUUUUAAAAGCUGUAAAUGGGAUAUUCAAUAGCCUAUUCAUCACAUUUUACGCGUGCACUUAAGCACUUAUAUAUAAUAUAUUUAUUAUUCAUACUCCGGCGGCAGCCGUCGUGAAAUGUGUGCAGCUGUAAAGUGGUACAGGAUGUCACCUCUCUCUCUCUCUCUAUGUGCUUCUUCACACCCUCUCUGUUUAUAUUUUUGUUCAAGUUUGCCGUCAAACGUCUGACACUGAUGCAGUGCCCGCAGUAAUCAGCUGGUCGUGUUUUUGGGGCUUAUUUCAUCCACAUGCGGCACCCCAAUCGAUUUUAUAUGGCCCAACCCCUUAAUUUCUAAUUCUUCUAGAUUAUAGACUAUUAUAGAAUAUAACACUAGGUACGACUGUUUGCUAUUGUCAUGAACAGUGAGAAUAUUUUUCGAUAAUAAUACCUAAGGUUA